rnacentral:rRNA from 1 species
GGGUCAGUAGGUUGGUCGUGCCACCGGUACGUACUGGUCUCACUGAUUCCUCCUUCCUGAAGAACCGUAAUGCCAUUAAUUUGGUGUUGCGGGGAAACAGGACUGUUACUUUGAAAAAAUUAGAGUGUUUAAAGCAAGCUAACGCUUGGAUACAUUAGCAUGGAAUAAUGGAAUAGGACGAUCGAUCCUAUUUUGUUGGUUUCUAGGAUUGACGUA